rnacentral:rRNA from 1 species
AGUGAACGCUGGCGGUAGGCUUUACACAUGCAAGUCGAACGGUAACACCACUUCGGUUUCUUCCUACUGGCGGACGGUGGCGGACUGGAGCGGAACGUGCCGGAUUGUACUUUUUAGCUGCGCAUAACGUUAGCUAAUACCCGAUAAUAUCUAAUGCUAAAUACAGGUGACCUUCGGGCCUUUUGCUACUUUGGCCGCUGAUGUCAGAUUAGGUAGUUGGUGGGAUAAAAGCCGACCAAGCCGACGAUCCGUAGCUGGUCUGAGAGGACGAGCAGCCACACUGGAACUGAGACACGGUCCAGACUCCUACGGGAGGCAGCAGUGGGGAAUAUUGGACAAUGGGCGCAAGCCUGAUCCAGCCAUGCCGCGUGGAGGAUGAAGGCCUUCGGGUUGUAAAGCGCUUUUGUAGGGAAAGAAAAGCAGCAGUCUAAUACACCAGGGUUAUGACGGUACCGAAAGAAUAAGCACCGGCUAACUACGUG